rnacentral:rRNA from 1 species
AACGCAAACGCUGGCGGCAGGCCUAACACAUGCAAGUCGAACGAACCCUUCGGGGUUAGUGGCGGACACGGGUGAGUAACACGUGGGAACGUGCCCUUUGGUUCGGAAUAACUCGGGGAAACCCGAGCUUUAAUACCGAAUGAGCCCUACGGGGGAAAGAUUUAUCGCCGAAGGAGCGGCCCGCGUCUGAAAUUAGGUAGUUGGUGGGGUAAAGGCCCACCAAGCCUACGAUCAGUAGCUGGUCUGAGAGGACAUGACCAGCCACAUUGGGACUGAGACACGGCCCAAACUCCUACGGGAGGCAGCAGUGGGGAAAAUCUUGCGCAAUGGGCGAAAGCCUGACGCAGCCAUGCCGCGUGAAUGAUGAAGGUCUUAGGGGAUUGUAAAAUUCUUUCACCGGGGACGAUAAUGACGGUACCCGGAGAAGAAGCCCCGGCUCCAACUUCGUGCCAGCAGCCGCGGUAAUACGAAGGGGGCUAGCGUUGCUCGGAAUUACUGGGUACGUAAAGGGCGCGUAGGCGGACAGUUUAGUCAGGGGUGAAAUCCCAGGGCUCAACCCUGGACAACUGCCUUUGAUACUGGCUGUCUUGAGUACGGGAGAGGUGUGUGGAACUCCGAGUGUAGGCAGGUGAAAUUCGU